rnacentral:rRNA from 1 species
GACGAACGCUGGCGGCGUGCCUAAUACAUGCAAGUAGAACGCUGAAGGAGGAGCUUGCUCUUCUGGAUGAGUUGCGAACGGGUGAGUAACGCGUAGGUAACCUGCCUGGUAGCGGGGGAUAACUAUUGGAAACGAUAGCUAAUACCGCAUAACAGUAGAUGUUGCAUGACAUUUACUUAAAAGGUGCAAUUGCAUCACUACCAGAUGGACCUGCGUUGUAUUAGCUAGUUGGUGGGGUAACGGCUCACCAAGGCGACGAUACAUAGCCGACCUGAGAAGGGGAUCGGCCACACUGGGACUGAGACACGGCCCAGACUCCUACGGGAGGCAGCAGUAGGGAAUCUUCGGCAAUGGACGGAAGUCUGACCGAGCAACGCCGCGUGAGUGAAGAAGGUUUUCGGAUCGUAAAGCUCUGUUGUAAGAGAAGAACGAGUGUGAGAGUGGAAAGUUCACACUGUGACGGUAGCUUACCAGAAAGGGACGGCUAACUACGUG